rnacentral:rRNA from 1 species
GGCGGCGUGCCUAAUACAUGCAAGUCGAGCGGACUGAUGGGAGCUUGCUCCCUGAAGUCAGCGGCGGACGGGUGAGUAACACGUGGGCAACCUGCCUGCAAGACCGGGAUAACUUCGGGAAACCGGAGCUAAUACCGGAUAAUCCUCUUUCCCGCAUGGGAAAGAGCUGAAAGAUGGCUUCGGCUAUCACUUGCAGAUGGGCCCGCGGCGCAUUAGCUGGUUGGUGAGGUAACGGCUCACCAAGGCGACGAUGCGUAGCCGACCUGAGAGGGUGAUCGGCCACACUGGGACUGAGACACGGCCCAGACUCCUACGGGAGGCAGCAGUAGGGAAUCUUCCGCAAUGGACGAAAGUCUGACGGAGCAACGCCGCGUGAGCGAAGAAGGCCUUCGGGUCGUAAAGCUCUGUUGUCAGGGAAGAACAAGUACCGUUCGAAUAGGGCGGUGCCUUGACGGUACCUGACCAGAAAGCCACGGCUAACUACGUGCCAGCAGCCGCGGUAAUACGUAGGUGGCAAGCGUUGUCCGGAAUUAUUGGGCGUAAAGCGCGCGCAGGCGGUUCCUUAAGUCUGAUGUGAAAGCCCACGGCUCAACCGUGGAGGGUCAUUGGAAACUGGGGAACUUGAGUGCAGAAGAGGAGAGCGGAAUUCCACGUGUAGCGGUGAAAUGCGUAGAGAUGUGGAGGAACACCAGUGGCGAAGGCGGCUCUCUGGUCUGUAACUGACGCUGAGGCGCGAAAGCGUGGGGAGCAAACAGGAUUAGAUACCCUGGUAGUCCACGCCGUAAACGAUGAGUGCUAAGUGUUAGAGGGUUUCCGCCCUUUAGUGCUGCAGCUAACGCAUUAAGCACUCCGCCUGGGGAGUAC